GUAACGUGCUGGGGGAGCUAUAUGCUGAGAUUUGAUAAUUCAUAAACCCUUUAAACCUGAUCUAGUUAAUUCUAGCGUAGGGAAAGCAACCUUAUAAGAAU
rnacentral:ncRNA from 2 species